rnacentral:rRNA from 1 species
CGCGUAGGCGGCUUGGCAAGUGGAUGGUGAAAUCCCUCGGCUUAACCGAGGAACUGCCGUCCAAACUGCUUUGCUUGAGACCGGGAGAGGUGAGUGGAAUUCCCAGUGUAGCGGUGAAAUGCGUAGAUAUUGGGAGGAACACCAGUGGCGAAGGCGGCUCACUGGACCGGUACUGACGCUGAUGCGCGAAAGCGUGGGGAGCAAACG